rnacentral:rRNA from 1 species
AUGGGUUCUUGCGAGGAUGUGGAGUACGGGGACGUCUUCUCCGUCCCCAACCCGGCGGCUGCCCCCGCCUACGCGCUCGACUUCUCCCUCCACCACCACUACCACCACCAGCAGCAGCAGCAGCUCCGGUUCCCCCCUUCUUCAUACGGCUUCCACGGCCUUCCUGCCGGUCCCGCCGCCCAUUACCAGCCGUCGCCGCCGCAGUCGGCGCUGAUUGGCAGCACGCCGAGCCCCGUCUCGACCACCACCGACCUGGGGAGCCCCGAGGAAGCGUCCGACGACGCCGUGCUCGCCUACAUCAACCAGUUCCUCCUCGAGGAUGAUGACGACGACGAGUCCUCUGCUCCCGGCGCCGCCGCCGCGCCGGCGCGGGACUCGGCGCUCCUCGCCGUCGCCAAGCCCUUCGUCGACAUCAUCGCCGACGCCAAGCCGGCGUACCAGCACAGUUCCUGGACGGAUCCCUGCUGCGCUUUCGCGGGAAUGGGAGGAGGAUCCCCUGACAUGUUCGUCAGCAGCAGGCAGAGCUCCUGCCAGUUAGUGCCCUGCGAUUCCGUGAAGGUGGAGGAGGAGUGCGCCGUCCACAAGGGCCGGAAGAACCGGCACGGCGACGACGACCUGGAGCCGGAGGACGAGAGGCGGCGCAAGCAGCUCGCGCUGUCCGAGGAGGAGACCGUCCGGGAGAUGUUCGACAAAGUGCUCCUCUGCAACGGUGUCAACUGCAUCCUCCAGUCGCCGCUGCCGGCCGAAGCGGAGAUCAGCAGCGUGUACGUGAAAGGGUCAGGGAACCGGAGAGGGCGCAAGAAGGGGAAGACCGGAGUGCCCACCGUGGAGGAGGAGUCCGUCGACCUGACGACGUUGCUCAUACACUGUGCCCAGGCCGCGGCUAUCGAUGAUCACCGCGGUUCGGGUGAGUUGCUGAAGCAGAUCAGGCGGCAUUCUUCCCCUCAUGGGGAUGCCGGGCAGAGGCUGGCGCAUUACAUUGCUAAUGGGCUCGAGGCUCGCCUUGCCGGCACCGGUAGCACCGUCUACCGCUCGCUUGUCGCGCGGCGAACUUCUUCCGCUGACAUGCUGAAAAUAUUCAAGCUAUAUGGGACGGCAUGCCCGUUCAUCAGGAUGUCCAGGUUCUACUCGAAUGAAGCCAUCUUGGAUGCUGCUGCCAAGGGUGUGACAAGCGUGCACAUUGUGGACUAUGGUAUAGACUGGGGCUUCCAGUGGCCAAUCUUCUUGCAGCGGAUCUCCAAGAGAGAUGGCGGCCCCCCAAGAAUCCGCAUCACCGCCAUCGACUUACCGCAGCCAGGGUUCCGGCCUGCAGAGCGUUUAGAGGCGACGGGCCGGCGGUUAAGCGAGUACGCCAAGAUGUUUCAUGUCCCCUUCGAGUAUCGCGCAAUUGCUGCCAAGUGGGAUGCCAUCCGAGUCGAAGACCUCAGGAUUGACAAGGAUGAUCUUCUUAUUGUCAACUGCUUGUUCAGAAUGCGGCACAUGAUGGACGAGACGGUGACCGACGAGAGCCCGAGGAAGACGGUCUUGAACACGAUCAGGAAGAUGAACCCGCAUCGGUUCAUCCACGCGGUUGUCAACGGCACCUACAACGCGCCAUUCUUCGUGACGCGCUUCAAGGAGGCUCUGUUCUAUUUCUCCUCGCUCUACGACAUGCUCGAAGCGACCGCACCGCCGGCGGAUGAGCACAGGCAGCUGAUCGAAAGGGAAUACUUCGGGCGGGAGGUUCUCAACGUGGUCGCCUGCGAGGGCACGGAGAGGGUCGAGAGGCCGGAGACCUACAAGCAAUGGCAGGUAAGGAACCUCAGGGCAGGGUUCAGGCAGGUGCCUCUGCUUCAAGAGUCGGUGAAAAAGGCAAGAUACAAGGUAAUCAAGAGCUAUCACAGGGAUUUCUUCGUCGACGAAGAUAACAAGUGGAUGCUGCAGGGUUGGAAGGGCAGAGUCAUCGGCGCCCUAUCCACAUGGAAACCUAGCUAG